AGAACCUCCAGGAAUGUCCGUUGUGCAUGACAUGAGGGCAGUUUCACUGACAGUUUAUGCAGGCAGGGGGAGUGUUUUAUUAAAUAUGCAAAUAUUAACCUACUCAAUCCUCAUAAAAACUCAGUGGUGAACUGACUGUUGGCCUGGCAGAUGAGAAGUUUUACUCCCCCACUCUCCAGUGAAACUGGUGAAAAGUAUUUUUAAAGGAAUUAAGAAUGGGUCAAUGAAAUAUACAGCUCCUUUCUGGAAUGUACCUGUUCUGCUACAACCAUGGAUAUCCUGACCUUUCUGUGCCUUUCAGGGACAAGGGUAAUAGAGGAGUUUCAGACUCCCUCUAAAACAAAACAACAACUGAACAAUAAACAACAGAAAAAGAACACAAAAAAAGACGGUGGUACUCUUUCCCCUUUCCUUGCUUUCUCCUGCUACCAAAACAAACAACAAAAACUACAUUGUCUCAUUGGAUGACGAAGCUAAAAUUUUGUAGCAAAUCUAUAGAAGAAAAGAAGUGGAAAUCUACUCAAGAGCUACUGUAAAACACUGUAUACAAAACAACCACUUUGAUUCACAUUAAAAAGUGUUAUCUGUUUCUUUGAAUUCAUAAGCUAGAUAUUAAUCCAUCUUUAGAAGAGAAGAAAGCAAAGAUCGUAGAUGACAAGUCUUGCUUUCUUGUAAGUAUCUUUGAAUCUGUAUGUUUGCCAUCACAAGUUCUCAGAUCAAUUAACUAUUGUUUACUUCCAAAAAAAAUCUGGCAUGGCUUAUGAAGAUGUAUAUAUAUAACAACAUCAGUAUGAAUGGGAUAAUACAACAAGACCAAGGGAAACUAAA
rnacentral:lncRNA from 1 species